GCCAGGCACAGUGGUGCAUGCCUGUAAUCCUAGCAGCUCAGGAGGCUGAGGCAGGAGGAUACAGUUCAAAGCCAGCCUCAGCAAAGCAAGGCAACAACAACUAGUGAAACCCUGUCUCUA
rnacentral:sRNA from 1 species